AAGCGUUGUCCGGAAUUACUGGGCGUAAAGCGUGCGCAGGCGGUUCGGAAAGAAGGAUGUGAAAUCCCAGGGCUCAACCUUGGAACUGCAUUCUUAACUACCGGACUAGAGUAUGUCAGAGGGGGGUAGAAUUCCGCGUGCAGCAGUGAAAUGCGUAGAUAUGCGGAGGAAUACCGAUGGCGAAGGCAGCCCCCUGGGAUAAUACUGACGCUCAUGCACGAAAGCGUGGGUAGC
rnacentral:rRNA from 1 species